rnacentral:rRNA from 1 species
GUCGAGCGAAUGGAUGGGAGCUUGCUCCCUGAAGUUAGCGGCGGACGGGUGAGUAACACGUGGGCAACCUGCCUAUAAGACUGGGAUAACUUCGGGAAACCGGAGCUAAUACCGGAUACGUUCUUUUCUCGCAUGAGGGAAGAUGGAAAGACGGUUUACGCUGUCACUUAUAGAUGGGCCCGCGGCGCAUUAGCUAGUUGGUGAGGUAAUGGCUCACCAAGGCGACGAUGCGUAGCCGACCUGAGAGGGUGAUCGGCCACACUGGGACUGAGACACGGCCCAGACUCCUACGGGAGGCAGCAGUAGGGAAUCUUCCGCAAUGGACGAAAGUCUGACGGAGCAACGCCGCGUGAACGAAGAAGGCCUUCGGGUCGUAAAGUUCUGUUGUUAGGGAAGAACAAGUACCAGAGUAACUGCUGGUACCUUGACGGUACCUAACCAGAAAGCCACGGCUAACUACGUGCCAGCAGCCGCGGUAAUACGUAGGUGGCAAGCGUUGUCCGGAAUUAUUGGGCGUAAAGCGCGCGCAGGUGGUUCCUUAAGUCUGAUGUGAAAGCCCACGGCUCAACCGUGGAGGGUCAUUGGAAACUGGGGAACUUGAGUGCAGAAGAGGAAAGUGGAAUUCCAAGUGUAGCGGUGAAAUGCGUAGAGAUUUGGAGGAACACCAGUGGCGAAGGCGACUUUCUGGUCUGUAACUGACACUGAGGCGCGAAAGCGUGGGGAGCAAACAGGAU